GUGCCUAACCCAUGUAAGUCGAGCGAUCUCGUUAGCAAUAAGGAGAGAGCGGCGGAAGGGUGAGUAACACGUAGGAGACCUACCUCAUCGCCGGGAACAACCCCGCGAAAGCGGAGCUAAUACCCAGAAGGCUCGCCUCUUCGGUGAGGCGAGGAGAGUGCGCGAAAGCGUGCGUGAUGAGCGGGUCCUGCGGCCCAUCAGCUCGUUGGUAGGGUAGCGGCCUACCAAGGCAACGACGGGUAGGGGGUCUGAGAGGACGAUCCCCCACACUGGAACUGAAACACGGUCCAG
rnacentral:rRNA from 1 species